rnacentral:tRNA from 1 species
GGGUUAGUGGUCUAGUGGUAUGAUUCUCGCUUAGGGUGCGAGAGGUCCGGGGUUCAAUUC